rnacentral:misc_RNA from 1 species
GGUGUCGAGAUCUAUCGCUUUGGAUCUUUGGAUGGUUUGGCCUUUGGCCUUUUCUUGCUUUUGCAGUUGCUCUUUCUUUUUUCAUGUCUCCGAUGGUUUGCUAUUGCCUAUACCGAUGAUGGCGUUGUGCUUGAUAGAUUCUCUGGUUGUUUGCUUGGAGUCCUUAGAUCUAGAGUUUGGCAGCUGAGUAUUCUGAGCUUUAUCAUUCUGGNUGCUUGAUAGGAUUUGUUUAUAUUUCUAAGCUUUGUGCCUUUGUUCCUUGUAAUCUUGCCCAUUUGAA